AAAGGAUUCAGAUUAAAAGGCUAGAACAAUUUAGGACAAUCGCAGUAAAUGAGGUCCAUCCUAGGCAAUCUGAGGCAGAUGGUUUUCUUACUUACAAACCAGGAGCUUGCACUCUCUUGCCUUUCUGCCUUGCACCAUGGGAGGACACAGCAAGAAGCUCUCACCGGAUGCUAGACCCUCAACCUUGGACUUCUCAGCCUCCAGAACCACGAGAAAUAAAUUUCUGUUUAUUGUAAAUUGCCCAGUCUCAAAUAUUAUGUGACAGCUGCACUAAACAGACUAAGAUGCUCCCUUAACAUAAACCACAGGGUUCCUAUGGAAAACAGGCAACAUGGAAUGUUUCAGGCAUUGUAAUCAUUGAAGGAAAGGAGAAACAAAAGGAGAGAUUGUGCUGAAGUGAACAGAGCACAGACUGUGACGGGAAUCUCACAAUCUUACCAACUUUGAGAUCAGGUUUGAUGACUGGCUUACAGAGAAGAAUAAGGAAAUGUACCUCUAAGAAUCGUUUGAAAUGAGUCUUCAUAUCCUCCCAAAUAUUUUUCAAGAACGUUUGGCAUUACUUCAAAAAUUAACUUUAGGAAAGGAACUAUUAUCACAUUUUAAGAGGGGAAUUGCAGUUGCACUUAAACUAGAAACUUCCACUUGGUGAAUUGAAUUAUUAAGGAAUAAUGGCAGAAGAAAGAAAAUCAAACCAGGAAUAUUUUUCAGACACAAAUAAUACUGGCUCAGCUCCGAUUCAGUAGGCUCACAUCAUUUAAACUAACGAUUACCUUGACACCACCAGAAGAAAAAUAGGAAAGUAAGAAGUGCCUUAGAAGUAUGAUAUUAUCAUUUAUUGCAAAGGAUACAAUAGUUAAGGUGGGUAUUAGCAUAUUAUUUAUUUAUUCAUUAUUUUAUUUUUAUCUAAAA
rnacentral:lncRNA from 1 species